rnacentral:tRNA from 1 species
GGAGAGAUGACAGAGUGGUUGAUUGUGGCGGUCUCGAAAACCGUUGUACGGGCGACCGUACCGGGGGUUCAAAUCCCUCUCUCUCCGCCA